GUGAACCUGCGGAAGGAUCAUUACCGAGUGAGGGCCCUCUGGGUCCAACCUCCCACCCGUGUCUAUCGUACCUUGUUGCUUCGGCGGGCCCGCCGUUUCGACGGCCGCCGGGGAGGCCCUGCGCCCCCGGGCCCGCGCCCGCCGAAGACCCCAACAUGAACGCUGUUCUGAAAGUAUGCAGUCUGAGUUGAUUAUCGUAAUCAGUUAAAACUUUCAACAACGGAUCUCUUGGUUCCGGCAUCGAUGAAGAACGCAGCGAAAUGCGAUAAGUAAUGUGAAUUGCAGAAUUCAGUGAAUCAUCGAGUCUUUGAACGCACAUUGCGCCCCCUGGUAUUCCGGGGGGCAUGCCUGUCCGAGCGUCAUUGCUGCCCUCAAGCACGGCUUGUGUGUUGGGCCCCCGUCCCCCUCUCCCGGGGGACGGGCCCGAAAGGCAGCGGCGGCACCGCGUCCGGUCCUCGAGCGUAUGGGGCUUUGUCACCUGCUCUGUAGGCCCGGCCGGCGCCAGCCGACACCCAACUUUAUUUUUCUAAGGUUGACCUCGGAUCAGGUAGGGAUACCCGCUGAACUUAAGCAUAUCAAUAA
rnacentral:rRNA from 1 species